rnacentral:rRNA from 1 species
UACGUAGGGGGCAAGCGUUGUCCGGAAUCACUGGGCGUAAAGGGAGCGUAGGCGGGUUCUUAAGUUAGGUGUUUAAUCCCGGGGCCCAACCCCGGACCGGCACUUAAAACUGGGAAUCUUGAAUAGUGGAGAGGUCAGUGGAAUUGGGGGUGUAGCGGUGGAAUGCGUAGAGAUCCCCAAGAACACCAGUUGCGAAGGCGGCUGACUGGACACAUAUUGACGCUGAUGAGCGAAAGCUAGGGGAGCAAACGGG